ACGGCUCUUUCUUCAAUCGUGGAUCUCAUUUUUCGAAGGAAUAUUUCACUUGAAGUUGGCUGCUAUUCGGAAUACAAAAAAAUGACGCUGUCAGAUCUGUCAACAAUAUUUUUUUCUGUUGGUAAACUCGGAAUUAUUAUUAUUGAUAAAACAAAUUGGCUGUGUCCGAAUAAUAUUUGUGAUAUUAUUGACUAUCAAAACUGAGAUGCAGUAACAAAAUUACUUCACAGUAAUGAUUGCGAUCAACCAUUCGUCAACAAAUAUUUGGUAACUCAACGUAAACAACAAAUCGGAUGGUCAAAUCCUAGCAAAAUUGUGGGAAAACUUUAGUUCUAAAGUGGAUGUUUACAUCCUGGAAACGGUUGUGGAGUGAGUGUGACAA